rnacentral:rRNA from 1 species
UACGGGGGGGGCAAGCGUUGUUCGGAAUUACUGGGCGUAAAGGGCUCGUAGGUGGCCAACUAAGUCGGACGUGAAAUCCCUCAGCUUAACUGGGGAACUGCGUCCGAUACUGGAUGGCUUGAGUUUGGGAGAGGGAUGCGGAAUUCCAGGUGUAGCGGUGAAAUGCGUAGAUAUCGGGAGGAACACCUAUGGCGAAGGCAGCUCGCUGGGACGGUAUUGACGCUGAGACGCGAAAGCGUGGGGAGCGAACAGG